UUUCCCCUUCAAAAAACUCUCUAUAGAAUUUUAUCAAGAGUGGUGAAUAUUUUACUCUGGACCUGGAUUAAAAACCCUAGUGAAUUUUUGUUGGUGGAUUAUAAACACUUGGGAUUUUCAUCCUCCACUGGCGGAAUCAAACCACUGUUACAACUGCAUGUAGGUUUUACUUUUAACCAGUCCCUUGGUUUUUUUGUGUGUUGCUUAAGUGUUUUGUGUGUGGUAAUAAAUACACUAUGAAAAUAUGGAAAAAAAAUUCAAAAAGUAAUAAUUGCCAUAUAAUAAUAAUAGUAUAGGUAAUAUAAUAAUUACAUAUUGUGUGAAAAGAUUGAUUAUGCUAAUGGUUUGUUUAUAUUUUCUUUGUUGAAGCUCUGUGUCUAGACUGCAGUUUUUGGCAAUUCUCAACAUUAGGAAAGAAAACUUGAAACAGCAACCAAGAUACAAAUACAUGUACAGAUGCCCUUAAAGUUUUUGAUGAAGUUAAGAGCAAGAUACUAUCCCAUCCAGCAGUGAUACGACUUCAUACAUGUACAGGAGCUUCUAAGGAGGAAUUGAAAAGAAGAUUGCAUUAUCCUUAACUUCACAUUUUGCUAUAAAGAUGAUUUCCUUUUAUUGAAUAAUUCAAAGUAUGGUGACUUUGUUGAACGCAUGUAUCCCAUUGAACUUGAAAUAAAGGAUACAACAGAUACAGGUGAAUCCUUGCUGGGUCAUUGAAAAACCUACUGGAAGUUCUUCUGAUACUGGAAAUUGAAAACAAAUGGUCAUUUUGGAAGAAAAUUGAUAGAGGAAAGAUACAGAUAUACAAGAAUUUCAUAUUUGAAAUGCACUUAAUAUUUCUUUUGUAUAUGAUCACCAAAUUUUGGCAGUCAAAUAAGGCCAAUUAAAAUUAAUUGAUAGAUUUUCAUCCCCGCCCGCCCCUCUGAAAUUGUCCCGCCCCGAUUUUUUUUAUUUUUAAAAAUAUACGAUUUCCGGAUUUUGUUCAUUUCCGUUACCGGUAACCGCCGAUAAUUUCGAUUCAUUUAAACUUCCUUUUUCAAAUUUCGAUUUUCGUAUUUCUUUGAGUAAUAUAAGUCGACAUAUUCUUCUGCUCAAUG